UUCUCAUCAAAGAGUGUUCUAUAGGGAAGAGAUAAAACCUAAACAGUCCCGGAAGCUGAGACAAGAAACUGAAAAAAAAAGGAAAGUGAGCAACAAGAUAAUGUAAGUCACAACUGAGCCAAUUAAGGAGCAGGAGAUGCAGCAGCAUGUCCCAAACAAAACUGAUUGGAGGUCAAGUGUGGACAACCAGAGCAAGUUCUUGCACAGCUAAUGUAUCCCCAGGUGUGAACUGAGUAACAUGAAGAAAGGCAUCCUCCUGCCACCUCCUGAAUCAGUAGAAAAAGACAAAAGCUUUUGAUGGGAUUAUGCUGGAGUCCAUGUCAUGGAACCAAACUGGAAAUUUUCUGGCAUGAUUUUAGGCGUUUUGCAUGAACUCUAAUUCAUUGAAAUGUAACAACCUUAUAAGGUCCCUGCAGGACCAUGUCACCCAAAAUAAUGCAUCAGAUAUAAGGACUUGUCUUUUACUCAUUUACUUCUUGGACCUACUUAGAAAACUGUGGCAGCACUGUUUUGUUAUUAUUGUCUUAAGUGCAUGAUCCAACUUGGAAAGGUUCCAGGUGUGUCUUAGUUUUGAAGCUUCACAGCAGCUGAGUAGUAGUGUGUGGUGAGCAUAACAAAUACCUAAAACUUUCAGGAAGGUGAAUCCUUCUCUCUGACCGUGGGAACUAUGGUCUGAAGAUGAAUGCCAAUCGCAAGAUAAUUCAAAUAUUGAAAUUAUGAAACAAUGACUUCCAAAUCAGCUAUGAUAAUGUGAUCUACAAGCUAAGGUCUAAUAUCCUCAAAACAAAUGGAAAGACAGAACAUCUUAGCAGGGAAAUAAAAGAUUCAACUGGCUCAUGGUUUGUACCGGGGGAACCAAGCCCAUGGUUGGGAUCCAGGGGUCCCUCCAGUCUCCUGUUCCAUGGUCGCACACACCUUGAGGGCACCCACACGGUUUGAUCGUCUCCUUAUAUUGCUGCUGGCAGACUCGUGACGGGGUUUCUCAUUCAUCUGGGUGUACAAGAAGCAUGGUGCCAGCAUCUGCUCAGCUUCUGAUGAGGGCUCUGGGAAGCUUUUACUCAUGGAGGAAGGCAAGGGGAACCAGCAUGUCACAUGAUGAGAAAGGAAGCAUGAGAGAGAGGUGCCAGACUCUUCAACAACCAGAAGAGAAAGUCAGAGAGAAUCAAAGCAUGUGAAGAGAGACCUCACGCAAGGAGGUCUAGGAGCCUAGAGUGAUCUUCAGCCAACAGUCAAAAAGAUAACUGGGACAACCACAAGGAACUGACUUCUAUAAGAGAAAUGAGCCUGGAAAAGGACUCCAAGCUUCAGAUGAAAAUGUAGUUGGCUGACACUUUGAUUUUAGUCUUGUGAAACCCUAAGCAGAGAAUCCAAGUAAGUCCCCCUGAACUUCUCACCUAAAGAACAAUGAGUUAAUAAAUAAG
rnacentral:lncRNA from 1 species